rnacentral:rRNA from 1 species
CAUUAGUGAACGCCCUCACGGGCUUAUAACUAUUCCAAACCUCUGUGAACCGUGCCCUUCGGGGCUAUUUUACAAACAUGGUGUAAUGAACGUCAUAUAUCAUAACAAAACAAAACUUUCAACAACGGAUCUCUUGGCUCUCGCAUCGAUGAAGAACGCAGCGAAAUGCGAUAAGUAAUGUGAAUUGCAGAAUUCAGUGAAUCAUCGAAUCUUUGAACGCACCUUGCGCCCUCUGGUAUUCCGGAGGGCAUGCCUGUUUGAGUGUCAUGUAGACUCAAUCCCUCGGGUUUCCGAGGAGAUUGGACUUGGGUGUUGCCGCUCUGCCGGCUCGCCUUAAAAGACUUAGCGGGAUAGCACCGUAGUCGGCGUAAUAAGUUUCGUCGGUGAAGGUUGUGAUGACUGCUUACAAUCGCCCUCGGGCAAUUUUUGACUCUGACCUCAAAUCAGGUAGGACUACCCGCUGAACUUAA